UCUGAUAAUGAAGACCAUGAUGAAGUCUUCGGAGGAAGCAUUCCAAAGCCCACUUGUGACCAGCAGAGAAGAAAAGGCAGUUACAAGCUGAUCCUCUUCUUGGGGCUUGUUCCUCUGUGAGUCCUCAGUGAGGACUUGGCCAGUCCGUUCCCACGCAGUCUUGCCUGCAGUCUGGCUCCACCUCACGAUGUCAGAACUUGACUACCACGGUGGACUGAGUCUUUGAAAAGCCAAGUCAUCAUUCCAGUCUUCAGGACAGAUGAAAAAUCUCUAUACUUUUCCACCGUAGAAUCUAGGUAUAUGAUUAGGAACCUGGAUAUUCUGACUUCUGGGUCCCUUCCAGACUUCCUGAGUCUGAAUUUCUGAGUAACCAUAAGAAUAAAUCACUAAAAAGGGGGAUAUGGUGACUGAUGGAGCUAAGGGAGAAGAGAAGAGAUAACAAACACUCCAGGAACUCAUAGGUGGGAAAAAUCACGCAAGGAUGGGAUAGUUGGAAAGACUUCUGAGAAGAAAGCUGCCGUCUUCCAGGUUCUGAUGCCUCCGAUGCUUAAGAGAACAGCAACAAGCUGGGAUUUGGAGAGACUGUGAGGGUCCCUGCUUUUUGAGCCUUAUUUGUGGUUCAGGCCCAGACUGAUAAGAGGAAGUACAAGUUGCAGUGAGAUGCAGUGGGCAGGAAUGGAUUCAUACCAUCAGAUGGAAAUGACAAAACAUCCUGCAGAAACUGUCAUCAUCACAUGGGUUUGGGGCCUCAUAUAAGUAUAAUUAGCUAGGAUUCCAAUUCAAGAUACUGAGUAUGGCGAGGAGGAGAGUCAGAGGGAGAAGCAGUCUCCCCACUGAGCAGUGGAGCCUGAUGCAGGGCUCGAUCCGAGGACCCUAGCAUCAUAACCUGAGCCGAAGGCAGAUGCUCAACUGACUGAGCCACCCAGCAAUGAAUUCCUGUUGCUCCACAACCUCGCCAGCAUUUGCUGAUGUCACUGUUCUGGACUGUCACAGAAAAAUCCAAAGCAAUGCUACUUGGCAGAAGGAAGGAAGAUUCUGAGUGUUUGGCAAUUAAUACAACUUAUCCUUUUGGCCAAGAAAAUUUAGUUAAAGAGACUUUUUUAAAAAAGCUUAAUAUGUAAUACCUUUUCUGGGUUCCUCGAUAUUAAUGGGAAAAUCAGAGUCAUCCAAACAUACUUUUUACUUAUCCCAAGGGAAAGCAGCUAUUGGAUUAUUCGCUCUGAGUUAUAUCAUUGCUCUACUGUUUGAUGAUGUGUUGGGCAUUAGAGGACUAACUAUUGCAGACUAGUGUGGGUGUUGGUUAUUUUGAAGCUCAGUUUAUGUGAAAAUAACUCUUCACAAGUUGCUGUAUGUUGUAUUGUUUGGCCCAGAGAGUUGAUACAAGUCUUAAAGCUGGAGAUUGUGUGAUAAAUAAUGCAGGGUAGAAACUUGCCUCACUAAUUAAUUAGAAUCCUGUGAACCAGAGUGAGUGAGUCAGAUACAUCCAAACAGGUAGAAUUGGUCUGUAAGACUGUUCUAGAUGUAAGGCAACCACCAUUUGGGAUCUAGAUGCUGCACACACACAAAAAAAAAAAUGAUUCAAAAGUUUGGAACAGAUUUUUGCUUAAAGAUACUGCCACUCAACACAAUUAUAUUUACAGAUGCAUACAAUAAUAUAUACCAAAUAAAUAAUAAAGAAUUAAACUGAAGGAAUUUUGAGAG